rnacentral:lncRNA from 1 species
UGAGAGUCCAUACUGCCUGGAUCUUCCUUGCGUACAUGUGCAGGACUUUGUUCUUUCCCGCACUUUGCACUGGCCAGCAGAGGGCGCUGCCCAAGGACCGAGGCCACUAGGGAGAUGGACGAGAAUCCUUCCUUGUGUAGGGCGAGCCACUCUGCUCCUCACCCUCCCCUGGUGUGACGAUGUGACAUGCACAAAACAGGAGUCCCUUGCGGGAGUCACUUCCUCAAAUCAGCCAGGGCCUGGGCUGGGGACUGACAGAGAUGAACAAGUGGACGUGGCACAGUUUUUGGUGGCCUUUGAGGACAUGCACAUGGCCUCCAUGGGUAGUUGACCAGAGUUCUCCCCGGGAAGAAUAAGAUUCCUUUCGACUCUGCUGAGGAAGGAAGCCUCAUAGGAGAGAUGGUGCCAUAGUGAGGUCUUGAAGGAUGAUGGUAAACUCAAUAGGUAGUGAUGGGAGAAGGCCUGGAGGUAAGAAGGCAAAAACCAUGCUGGGUGAACUCUGCAAGGAGCAGAAGACUUAUGUGCAUGGGAAAUAAAGUUGGAAAAUG